AAAAGACUUAGUCCUAACCUUACCAUUGACUAUCAUUAGAUAUAUACAUGCAAGUAUCCGCGCUCCAGUGCAAAUGCCCUCGACCACGUGCCUUACCUACAGGCAGAAGGAGCAGGUAUCAGGCUCACCCCAUCCAGUAGCCCAAAACACCUAGCCCAGCCACACCCUCACGGGUUUUCAGCAGUAAUUAACAUUAAGCCAUGAGUGUAAACUCGACUUAGUCAUAAUGACUCAGGGCCGGUAAAUCUUGUGCCAGCCACCGCGGUCAUACAAGAGGCCCAAGUUAAUGGUAUACGGCGUAAAGAGUGGAAACAUGCUAUCCAAUUAACUAGGACCAAAAUGCAUCCAAGCUGUCAUACGCCCAAGAUAGCACCAAAAACCUCCACAAUAAACGGCCCUAGCACUAAGAGAUCAAUUAUACACCACGAAAGCCAAGAAACAAACUGGGAUUAGAUACCCCACUAUGCUCGGCCCUAAACCUAGAUGCUUGCUUUACCAAAGCAUUCGCCCGAGAACUACGAGCACAAACGCUUAAAACUCUAAGGACUUGGCGGUGCCCUAUACCCACCUAGAGGAGCCUGUUCUAUAAUCGAUACUCCACGAUUCACCUAACCACCUCUUGCCUUAAAGCAGCCUACAUACCGCCGUCGCCAGCUUGCCUACUGAAAGAACAACAGCAAGCACAAUAGUCCGUCACUAGCAAGACAGGUCAAGGUAUAGCCCAUGAGGUGGAAGAAAUGGGCUACAUUUUCUAACAUAGAACAUACCCCCUAUUUUAACGGAAAAGGAAAUGAAACACCCUUAGAAGGCGGAUUUAGUAGUAAAGCGGAAUCAGAAAGUCCACUUUAAACUGGCCCUAGGGCACGUACAUACCGCCCGUCACCCUCCUCACAAGCAACACACCCCAUAUUUAAUACACCCACUCCUGCUAAAGAUGAGGUAAGUCGUAACAAGGUAAGUGUACCGGAAGGUGCACUUAGCAUACC
rnacentral:ncRNA from 1 species